rnacentral:tRNA from 1 species
GGCAAUGUAGCUCAGUAGGCAGAGCACAUCCCUUUUAAGGAUGGGGUCCCGGGUUCGAGCCCCGGCAUUGUCACUA